rnacentral:rRNA from 1 species
AUUGAACGCUGGCGGCAGGCCUAACACAUGCAAGUCGAGCGGAUGAAGGGAGCUUGCUCCUGGAUUCAGCGGCGGACGGGUGAGUAAUGCCUAGGAAUCUGCCUGGUAGUGGGGGAUAACGUCCGGAAACGGGCGCUAAUACCGCAUACGUCCUGAGGGAGAAAGUGGGGGAUCUUCGGACCUCACGCUAUCAGAUGAGCCUAGGUCGGAUUAGCUAGUUGGUGGGGUAAAGGCCUACCAAGGCGACGAUCCGUAACUGGUCUGAGAGGAUGAUCGGUCACACUGGAACUGAGACACGGACCAGGAUCCUACGGGAGGCAGGAGUGGGGAAUAUUGGACAAUGGGCGAAAGCCUGAUCCAGCCAUGCCGCGAGUGUGAAGAAGGUCUUCGGAUUGUAAAGCACUUUAAGGUGGGCGGAAGGGCAGUAAGUUAAGAACUUGCUGUUUUGACGUUACCAACAGAAUAAGCAACGGAUAACUUAGUU